UCAAAUUGCUAUGAAUGCAUUAAAUCUCGUUCGAUCGCCGAAGUUAAGCCGCGUCGAACCAGGUCAGUACCUAGAUGGGUGACCGCUUAGAUACACCGGGUGCAGU